UGAGGGAUAUUGGUCAAUGGGGGAAACCCUGAACCAGCAACGCCGCGUGAGGGAAGACGGUUUUCGGAUUGUAAACCUCUGUCCUCUGUGAAGAUAAUGACGGUAGCAGAGGAGGAAGCUCCGGCUAACUACGUGCCAGCAGCCGCGGUAAUACGUAGGGAGCGAGCGUUGUCCGGAUUUACUGGGUGUAAAGGGUGCGUAGGCGGGUAAGCAAGUCAGAAGUGAAAUCCAUGGGCUUAACCCAUGAACUGCUUUUGAAACUGUUUAUCUUGAGUGAAGUAGAGGUAGGCGGAAUUCCCGGUG
rnacentral:rRNA from 1 species